rnacentral:rRNA from 1 species
GGAAUAGCAGCUGGAAACGGCUGAUAAAACCGCAUAAGCGCACAGUGCCGCAUGGCACAGUGUGAAAAACUCCGGUGGUAUGAGAUGGACCCGCGUCUGAUUAGCUUGUUGGCGGGGUAACGGCCCACCAAGGCGACGAUCAGUAGCCGGCCUGAGAGGGUGAUCGGCCACAUUGGGACUGAGACACGGCCCAAACUCCUACGGGAGGCAGCAGUGGGGAAUAUUGCACAAUGGGGGAAACCCUGAUGCAGCGACGCCGCGUGAAGGAAGAAGUAUCUCGGUAUGUAAACUUCUAUCAGCAGGGAAGAUAAUGACGGUACCUGACUAAGAAGCCCCGGCUAACUACGUGCCAGCAGCCGCGGUAAUACGUAGGGGGCAAGCGUUAUCCGGAUUUACUGGGUGUAAAGGGAGCGUAGGCGGCGGAGCAAGUCAGAAGUGAAAGCCCGGGGCUCAACCCCGGGACGGCUUUUGAAACUGCCCUGCUUGAUUUCAGGAGAGGUAAGCGGAAUUCCUAGUGUAGCGGUGAAAUGCGUAGAUAUUAGGAGGAACACCAGUGGCGAAGGCGGCUUACUGGACUGACAAUGACGCUGAGGCUCGAAAGCGUGGGGAGCAAACAGGAUUAGAUACCCUGGUAGUCCACGCCGUAA